GCUCCUGUAGCUCAACGGUUAGAGCAGGGGACUCAUAAUCCCUUGGUUCUCGGUUCGAAUCCGGGCGGGAGCACCA
rnacentral:tRNA from 1 species